GAUUAACGCUGGCGGCGUGCAUAACACAUUCAAGUCGAACGGAGUGUAGAAAUACACUUAGUGGCGGACGGGUGAGUAACGCGUGAGCAAUCUACCUUCCAGUGAGGGAUAACAACCGGAAACAGUUGCUAAUACCUCAUGAAAUAGCAGCAUCGCAUGGUGCAACUAUCAAAGAUUUAUUGCUGGAAGAUGAGCUUGCGUCUGAUUAGAUAGUAGGCGGGGUAGCGGCCCACCUAGUCGACGAUCAGUAGCCGGACUGAGAGGUUGAACGGCCACAUUGGAACUGAGAUACGGUCCAG
rnacentral:rRNA from 1 species